AAACGCCCCUACAGUUUAUAUUUAAAAAGUAAUCUUCGUAUUAGUGACGGUUUGCAGGGGCGGUUAAUUGAUUGUUCAAUUCCUGGAACUUGUUUGCAAGAUAUCAGUGCAUAUGCGUUAGAAGAUAGUCCAAGGUCCAGGAUUUCCUGGGUGAUGAUUUGAAAAGCCAGAGCUCACACGUUCCUUAUAAUGUUGCAGACUUCUCCACUCAGGUAUGGUUACUCAUGCAGCAUAAUGUAAUGCAUUACAAAUUUCCAGAUUUAUUCUAUGCAUCAUAAGUCCAGUAAAUGUUUAUUAUAAAACAUAUUAACUCUUUCAAUGAUAUGUAGACUUCUAUCAGAUCGGGGAUACAGAGUCACUAUGGAAUUCUGUCUUAAUCAGGGUCUUUCAAUGAUAUUAACUGUUUUUCUUGUUGCUUAAUUUCUGUUUAUCAUGAUUGUGAAUUCAAUUAUAGCGCAUCUUAUAACAUCAUAGCCGGAAAAGCACCUGUAAUUGACGAUGCAGAGCAGCAGAAAUGAGACGGUUAUAACCACGGGACUAGAAAGACGGGCCAGAAACGCCAGUCAACAAAAGGUCCAUCACGGCCUCAUACAAUUCAGGAGCAGAGCGGACCGAUUUCACACCAUGACAUAGACAAAAGAAGGGAGCUGCUCGUAGUUCGGUUUUUGAACCUGGUAGAGUAUGGAAAAUAUUUGUGUGCUUCCUCUGAUAGUCAUAAUUGGAUCUCUAGUCACAAACAUAGAACGCAGAAGACAACGGAAAAUAACACAGAGAUUAUUUUAUCCAGUGAACGAUCCUUGAAGCCAAGAAGAUAGUUUGCUUCUUUUUCAGUUAAUUCAUGUAUUAUGAGUUUCAAUUGAUUAAUUAUAAGAAUGUUUUAAGCAAAAUUAAUCAAUUUAAUUAUU